UGCUUAUACCAUAUUUUAGGGCAUUAGGU
rnacentral:piRNA from 1 species